rnacentral:rRNA from 1 species
GAACGAGGUGCUUUUUGUAGCAAUACGAGAAGUAUCCUAGUGGCGAACGGGUGAGUAACGCGUUGGUGACCUACCCCAAAGUGUGGGAUAACAGUUCGAAAGAACUGCUAAUACCGCAUGUGGUUAUCGGGUUUAGAAACCGAUAACUAAAGGAGCAAUUCGCUUUGGGAGGGACCUGCGUCCCAUCAGCUAGUUGGUGAGGUAACGGCUCACCAAGGCGACGACGGGUAGGGGACCUGAGAGGGUGACCCCCCACAAUGGAACUGAAACACGGUCCAUACACCUACGGGUGGCAGCAGUAGGGAAUAUUGCUCAAUGGGCGAAAGCCUGAAGCAGCAACGCCGCGUGCGCGAUGAAGGUCUUCGGAUCGUAAAGCGCUUUUAUGAGGGAUGAGAACGGACAGUACCUCAGGAAUAAGUCUCGGCUAACUACGUGCCAGCAGCCGCGGUAAAACGCAGGAGGCAAGCGUUAUCCGGAUUCACUGGGCGUAAAGCGCGUGCAGGCGGUUCGGUAAGUUGGGCGUGAAAUCUCCUGGCUUAACUAGGAGAGGUCGUCCAAUACUACCGGGCUAGAGAGUGGUAGAGGAAAAUGGAAUUCCCGGUGUAGUGGUGAAAUGCGUAGAUAUCAGGAGGAACACCAGUGGCGAAAGCGAUUUUCUGGACCAUUUCUGACGCUCAGACGCGAAAGCUAGGGUAGUAAACGGGAUUAGAGACCCCGGUAAUCCUAGCCGUACACGAUGUAACUUGGCGUUGGUGGCUUAAACACCAUCAGUGCCGCAGCUAACGCGAUAAGUUUACCG